GAAAAUCAUCUCGAUAAUCCUGAACCAUUACGUGGACCAGCAUGAGGAUGCGCACAGGGCGUGCCAGGUGCGCCAUGGCACACCCCGUGCCUUUGAGUUGAAAACGAAAUGGACUCAUUUUGGAUUUUAUUUAAUUAAAUACUAACCAAUUUGGUAUGGGAAAUUGUCAUAGUGUAACCAAUAAAUCAAAUCAAUCGGCAACCACUUACUGCGAUAAUCACUGCCUUGGAUUCGGGGCCUAUU